GAUGAACGCUGGCGGCGUGCUUAACACAUGCAAGUCGAACGGAAAGGCCCAAGCUUGCUUGGGUACUCGAGUGGCGAACGGGUGAGUAACACGUGGGUGAUCCGCCCUGCACUUCGGGAUAAGCCUGGGAAACUGGGUCUAAUACCGGAUAGGACGAUGGUUUGGAUGCCAUUGUGGAAAGUUUUUUCGGUGUGGGAUGAGCUCGCGGCCUAUCAGCUUGUUGGUGGGGUAAUGGCCUACCAAGGCGUCGACGGGUAGCCGGCCUGAGAGGGUGUACGGCCACAUUGGGACUGAGAUACGGCCCAGACUCCGACGGGAGGCAGCAGUGGGGAAUAUUGCACAAUGGGCGCAAGCCUGAUGCAGCGACGCCGCGUGGGGGAUGACGGCCUUCGGGUUGUAAACUCCUUUCGCUAGGGACGAAGCGUUUUUGUGACGGUACCUGGAGAAGAAGCACCGGCUAACUACGUG
rnacentral:rRNA from 1 species